rnacentral:rRNA from 1 species
CCCUACGGGGUGCAGCAGGGCCACAGACAGAUGUAUGGCAGGAUCAUCGGGCGGAGUUUGACCAAUGCCGCGCUUAUUUCGGUCACUGAAUUCGAAUUAAGUUGCUUCGAAACUUCGGCUGGGAUGGUGUCAAUCAGCAGGGGUUGCUCCUUAAGCUUGCGAGCGGACAUGGUUUUGAGCGUCGGUUUGGCUGUUUCGGCCCUGGGCAGCAAGCGGGGAGUAAUGUACUCCGGCAUUGGCGGUUCGGGCUGUGGAUUCAACCAGUUGGUAUGUGAAACCGCCGUAUUGGGCGCCAGGUUGAAGCGAUAAGCGCUUUCCUGAACCGCCGGUAAGUUGAUUGGCGUCACCCGUUCUCCCUCGAUUUCUUUAUCGGGAUACCGUACCGGGAAUUGGCGGGAGAGC